AAUCGCCGUAUACCGAACGGUACGUACGGUGGUGUGAGAGGACAGAUAGGGAACUAAUCCCUAUCUUCCUACUCAAU
rnacentral:ncRNA from 1 species